AAGUGUAGUAUCUGUUCUUAUCAGUUUAAUAUCUGAUACGUCCUCUAUCCAAGCAA
rnacentral:snRNA from 1 species